GGUGGCUCAAUGGUAAAGCACUUGCCUUGCAUGCAUGAGGCCCUGGGUUCGAUUCCCCAGCACCA
rnacentral:tRNA from 1 species